rnacentral:rRNA from 1 species
CUCUGACGUUAGCGGCGGACGGGUGAGUAACACGUGGAUAACCUACCUAUAAGACUGGGAUAACUUCGGGAAACCGGAGCUAAUACCGGAUAAUAUAUUGAACCGCAUGGUUCAAUAGUGAAAGACGGUUUUGCUGUCACUUAUAGAUGGAUCCGCGCCGCAUUAGCUAGUUGGUAAGGUAACGGCUUACCAAGGCAACGAUGCGUAGCCGACCUGAGAGGGUGAUCGGCCACACUGGAACUGAGACACGGUCCAGACUCCUACGGGAGGCAGCAGUAGGGAAUCUUCCGCAAUGGGCGAAAGCCUGACGGAGCAACGCCGCGUGAGUGAUGAAGGUCUUCGGAUCGUAAAACUCUGUUAUUAGGGAAGAACCAAAAUGUGUAAGUAACUAUGCACGUCUUGACGGUACCUAAUCAGAAAGCCACGGCUAACUACGUGCCAGCAGCCCGGUAAUACGUAGGUGGCAAGCGUUAUCCGGAAUUAUUGGGCGUAAAGCGCGCGUAGCGGUUUUUUAAGUCUGAUGUGAAAGCCCACGGCUCAACCGUGGAGGGUCAUUGGAAGCUGGAAAACUUGAGUGCAGAAGAGGAAAGUGGAAUUCCAUGUGUAGCGGUGAAAUGCGCAGAGAUAUGGAGGAACACCAGUGGCGAAGGCGACUUUCUGGUCUGUAACUGACGCUGAUGUGCGAAAGCGUGGGGAUCAAACAGGAUUAGAUACCCUGGUAGUCCACGCCGUAAACGAUGAGUGCUAAGUGUUAGGGGGUUUCCGCCCCUUAGUGCUGCAGCUAACGCAUUAAGCACUCCGCCUGGGGAGUACGACCG